UCCUCAGUAGCUCAAUGGCAGAGCAGUCGCCUGUUAACUGACUGGUCGUAGGUUCAAAUCCUAUUUGGAGAG
rnacentral:tRNA from 2 species